UUAGGAAUCUUGCGCAAUGGGGGAAACCCUGACGCAGCGACGUCGCGUGAAGGAUGAAGGCCCUCGGGUCGUAAACUUCUUUUGAGUGGGAAGAAAUUUGACGGUACCACUCGAAUAAGCCCCGGCUAACUACGUGCCAGCAGCCGCGGUAAUACGUAGGGGGCGAGCGUUGUCCGAAGUUACUGGGCGUAAAGCGCGCGUAGGCGGUUAUUUAAGUCUGGGGUGAAAGGUUCAGCGCUCAACGUGAACAGUGCCUUGGAUACUGGAUGACUUGAGUCUGGGAGGGGGAAGGGGAAUUCCUGGUGUAGCGGUGAAAUGCGUAGAUAUCAGGAGGAACACCGGUGGCGAAGGCGCCUUCCUGGCCUAAGACUGACGCUGAGGUGCG
rnacentral:rRNA from 1 species